rnacentral:rRNA from 1 species
GAUGAACGCUGACAGAAUUCUUAACACAUGCAAGUCAACUUGAAUUUGGGUUUUUAACUUAGGUUUGGGUGGCGGACGGGUGAGUAACGCGUAAAGAACUUGCCUCACAGCUAGGGACAACAUUUGGAAACGAAUGCUAAUACCUAAUAUUAUGAUAAUAGGGCAUCCUAUAAUUAUGAAAGCUAUAAGCGCUGUGAGAGAGCUUUGCGUCCCAUUAGCUAGUUGGAGAGGUAACGGCUCACCAAGGCGAUGAUGGGUAGCCGGCCUGAGAGGGUGAUCGGCCACAAGGGGACUGAGACACGGCCCUUACUCCUACGGGAGGCAGCAGUGGGGAAUAUUGGACAAUGGACCGAGAGUCUGAUCCAGCAAUUCUGUGUGCACGAUGAAGUUUUUCGGAAUGUAAAGUGCUUUCAGUUGGGAAGAAACAAAUGACGGUACCAACAGAAGAAGUGACGGCUAAAUACGUG